rnacentral:tRNA from 1 species
CAAAAAAUAGUUUAAAAAAAUACUAGCAUUGGAAGCUAGAGAUUAAGAAUAAGCUCUUAUUUUUUGA